GAUGAACGCUAGCUACAGGCUUAACACAUGCAAGUCGAGGGACCGGCGCACGGGUGCGUAACACGUAUCCAACCAGCCCUUUACCCGGGGAUAGCCUUUCGAAAGAAAGAUUAAUACCCGAUGUUAAGGAUGGGGAUGCGUUCCAUUAGGUUGUUGGUGAGGUAACGGCUCACCAAGCAUUCGAUGGAUAGGGGGUCGGAGAGGAAGUUACCCCACAAUGGAGCUGAGGCCCGGACCAAACUCCUACGGAGGGCAGCAGUGAGGAAUAUUGGUCAAUGGGCGUUAGCCUGAACCAGCCAAGUAGCGUGAAGGAUUAAGGCUUAUGGGUCGUAAAUUUCUUUUAUAUAAGAAUAUGUAUUAUAUGAAUAAGGAUCGGCUAACUCCGUGCCAGCAGCCGCGGUAAUAC
rnacentral:rRNA from 1 species